CAUUUUCCCUUUCACAUCAUCAUUUCCAGCAGACAAAUGGGUAGUGCUCCUUUAUCAAGAAAAGUAAAGAAAAAGGACCCUGUGACUGUGUGUAGUGUUUUGGUUUCUGAUAUACUUUUUACUUUUUGGGGUUUUAAUUUGGCUUUUUCUCAAGUGUUUUCGUAUCUUUUAAUGCGCCAUUUCAGAGUAGAUUGUAGACCAGGAACGUUAGGUACGGCAUUGGAGAACAAAAUUUAAUGUAGUUUUGUGAUUAUUGCUUUUUCCGGAACUUGCCUCCAUUUUACUCAAGGUCCUAUACUUGCCUCAAUUAUUUAUAGGGGUAUUUUCAAAACGGGACUUCAGGAUUUUGCCUUACAUGUCUGUUUAUGUCGAGGAUUUAGUUUGUAUUUGGAAAGCCACAUGAUUGAAAAUUUGAUUUGAGUAUAAUUAGGCACUGUAACUUGUUUUUCUAGUCAACUCGCACUGUAACUUGUUUUUCUAGUCAACUAAUUUACUUGUUCCAUAUUAUGCGACACAAUCACUAUGAGCUCCUACUAUACUUGCCUCAAUUAUUUAUAGGGGUAUU
rnacentral:lncRNA from 1 species